GGAACAUUCUUCUCCUGAUUAUUUCAAAGCCUCUGAGUAGCCUGACCGGUGUCACAAGGUUCCUACUGUUUAAAUUGCUUAUUCCAGGUGUGUGAGACGCUUUGACGAUGGCCACUGACGUGGAGGUUAUGAUUGCCAUUGGCUGCGGCUUACUGCUUAUCGCAUGGUUGCUGAUUUGCUGCGUCCUCUGUCUUUGCUGCAAAGUGUUCAGGACACUGAAGGACAUAUGACUAUCGAUGGCAUCGACACAAAAGGCAGGUGACUUGGUUUGGAAGAAGGCCAACCCGAGACUCUGCUGUCUCCAGCUCCCUGCGGUAAGGCUCCCAGCGACAGAACCUCAGAGAGCGGUGCUCUGGCAACUGUCCAAAGAGAGGUGGCCUGCCCCCCUAUCUCCAGGCCACAGGCCUGUUGUGUGAAAUACAGGCUCUUUAUGUGGAACUCAGCUGCCUCCUGACUUUGUUCUCUCUGGAUGUUUGCAGGCCCCUCCAGGGCAAACGCUAUGCUGUCUCUGAUCCCCAGGUACUCAGAACUCAUUAGGUGUCGGGGCCAUGACCCCAACAUCGCCUUUGCCAUUCCGGCAACGCUUUCCGCCAGACAGACCUCUCAGCUCAGAGCAG